UAGGUGUAGGCGUAGCGAAAGCGAGUCUUAAUAGGGCGUCUAGUCGCUGGGAAUAGACCCGAAACCGGGCGAUCUAUCCAUGGGCAGGUUGAAGGUUAGGUAACACUGACUGGAGGACCGAACCGACUACCGUUGAAAAGUUAGCGGAUGACCUGUGGAUCGGAGUGAAAGGCUAAUCAAGCUCGGAGAUAGCUGGUUCUCCUCGAAAUCUAUUUAGGU
rnacentral:rRNA from 1 species